GACGAACGCUGGCGGCGUGCUUAACACAUGCAAGUCGAACGGAAAGGCCCUGCUUUUGUGGGGUGCUCGAGUGGCGAACGGGUGAGUAACACGUGAGUAACCUGCCCUUGACUUUGGGAUAACUUCAGGAAACUGGGGCUAAUACCGGAUAGGAUCUCCUGCUGCAUGGUGGGGGUUGGAAAGUUUCGGCGGUUGGGGAUGGACUCGCGGCUUAUCAGCUUGUUGGUGGGGUAGUGGCUUACCAAGGCUUUGACGGGUAGCCGGCCUGAGAGGGUGACCGGCCACAUUGGGACUGAGAUACGGCCCAGACUCCUACGGGAGGCAGCAGUGGGGAAUAUUGCACAAUGGGCGGAAGCCUGAUGCAGCAACGCCGCGGGCGGGAUGACGGCCUUCGGGUUGUAAACCGCUUUCGCCUGUGACGAAGCGUGAGUGACGGUAAUGGGUAAAGAAGCACCGGCUAACUACGUG
rnacentral:rRNA from 1 species